GAUGAAGAACGCAGCAAAAUGCGAUAAGUAAUGUGAAUUGCAGAAUUCAGUGAAUCAUCGAAUCUUUGAACGCACAUUGCGCCCGCCAGUAUUCUGGCGGGCAUGCCUGUUCGAGCGUCAUUUCAACCCUCAAGCACAGCUUGGUGUUGGGACUCGCGUUAAUUCGCGUUCUUCAAAUUGAUUGGCGGUCACGUCGAGCUUCCAUAGCGUAGUAGUAAAACCCUCGUUACUGGUAAUCGUCGCGGCCACGCCGUUAAACCCCAACUUCUGAAUGUUGACCUCGGAUCAGGUAGGAAUACCCGCUGAACUUAAGCAUAUCAAUAAGCGGAGGA
rnacentral:misc_RNA from 1 species